UUUUACGCCAGGGCCGUGCCAAGGAGUUCUUUACUGCUGGUCUAUGGGAUUCAGGUCCACAUGAUGAUUUGGUUGAGGUCCUACACUUGGCUGUGGUCUGCACGGUUGACUCUCUUUCUACUAGACCUACAAUGAAGCAAGUAGUAAGACGGUUGAAGCAACUUCAACCACCGUCGUGUUAGCUGCAGGCUGCAUGUCUUCCUACAAUGAAGCAAGUAGUAAGACGGUUGAAGCAACUUCAACCACCGUCGUGUUAGCUGCAGGCUGCAUGUCUUUGGAUAGGAUAUGGUUUAGCCCAAUUGUAAUUUUAAAACUUGCACUUGAUAUUAAGGUGUAUUUGGGUGUCUCCU
rnacentral:lncRNA from 1 species